rnacentral:rRNA from 1 species
AUUGAACGCUGGCGGCGUGCCUAAUACAUGCAAGUCGAGCGGAUCUUCAUUAGCUUGCUUUUGAAGAUCAGCGGCGGACGGGUGAGUAACACGUGGGCAACCUGCCUGUAAGACUGGGAUAACUUCGGGAAACCGGAGCUAAUACCGGAUAAUCCUUUCCCUCACAUGAGGAAAAGCUGAAAGACGGCUUCUCGCUGUCA